rnacentral:lncRNA from 1 species
GGGGAGUAAUGUAUCGAAGUUAAAUUUUUAUUCUCGUCAUUUUUUUAGUCUUUGGAGAUUUAAUGUAAUGGAUAAAACUCAUGUAUGGCUACUUAUGAAUGGUUGUGACUUGCUACGACAUCAUCAUAGACUAUUAUGUCUUGCUCCUUUAUUUCUAUGAUGAUCUAUUAUCCUUCCAUGUUGAUCCAUUUGGAGCUUCGAUUUCUUUGUCAUGCAUAUCUUGAGGGGAGCUCCGUACUAAAUAUCUCCUAGACUAUAAUGUAU